AAUCAAAUAACGUGUUCAAACUUGGGGCAUUUUAGUUGGUUGCAGAACAUGUCCGUCCUGGGACAACUCGGACCGUCUAAAAAAGACAGCUAGGACCAUCUAUAAUGACAACUCAGACAAAGACAAAAGGAACAUGUUUACUAAGUUUCAAGUUGAUUGGACUUCAACUUCAUUAAAAACUACCUCGACCACAAACGUUUACCUGAAGUGGGACAGACAGAUGGAGGAGUGCACGCACAGACCAG
rnacentral:lncRNA from 1 species